rnacentral:rRNA from 1 species
AACGAACGCUGGCGGCAUGCCUAACACAUGCAAGUCGAGCGAGAUCUUCGGUUCUGGCGGCGGACGGUUGCGUAACGCGUGGUAAUAUGCCUCUUGGUACGGAAUAGCCUCGGGAAACUGGGCGUAAUACCGUCUGUGCCCUUUGGGGGACAGAUUUAUCGCCAAGGGAUUAGCCCGCGUUGGAUUAGGUAGUUGGUUGGGUAAUGGCCUAUCACGCCGACGAUCCAUAGCUGGUUUGAGAGGAUGAGCAGCGACACUGGGACUCAGACACGGCCCAGAAUCCUACGGGAGGCAGCAGAGGGGAAUCUAAGAAAAUGGCGGCAACGAUGAUCGAGCCAGGCCGGGUGAGUGAUGAAGGCAGGAGGGAAGUAAAGCCCGUUCAGAUGGGAAGAUAAUGACGGUACCAGCAGAAGAAGCACCGGCUAACUCCGUG